rnacentral:rRNA from 1 species
AUUGAACGCUGGCGGCAGGCCUAACACAUGCAAGUCGAACGAGCGGCGGACGGGUGAGUAAUGUCUGGGAAACUGCCUGAUGGAGGGGGAUCACUACUGGAAACGGUAGCUAAUACCGCAUACCAUCCAUUUUGCCCAGAUGGGAUUAGCUAGUUGGUGGGGUAAUGGCUCACCUAGGAGACGAUCCCUAGCUGGUCUGAGAGGAUGACCAGCAACACUGGAACGUAGACACGGUCCAUACUCCUACGGGAGGCAGCAGUGGGGAAUAUUGCACAAUGGGCGCAAGCCUGAUGCAGCCAUGCCGCGUGUGUGAAGAAGGCCUUCGGGUUGUAAAGCACUUUCAGCGAGGAGGCGUUACUCGCAGAAGAAGCACCGGCUAACUCCGUGCCAGCAGCCGCGGUAAUAC